UCGGUGGCAGCCGGAUAUUGCUUUCAGUAGCUAAGUUUGGCACCCCCUGGCCAAGGUAUGGUGAAGACUUGGUGCAUGUGAACAUCUUUAUUGGCGCGGUAGCCUACAUCCUGGACAGUGUACUAAAUAUAUAUUUGAGCCCUAGUCGAUGGAUUUAUUACCCACAAUACAACAUUUUAACUGUACUUUCUCCUCAGGAUAGAAAUCGUAAAGGAUGGGCGACUGGAGCUUUCUGGGGCGGCUGUUGGAGAACGCGCAGGAACACUCGACGGUGAUCGGCAAGGUGUGGCUGACGGUCCUCUUCAUCUUCAGGAUCCUGGUGCUGGGGGCGGCGGCGGAGGAGGUGUGGGGCGACGAGCAGUCCGACUUCACCUGCAACACGCAGCAGCCCGGCUGCGAGAACGUCUGCUACGACGAGGCCUUCCCCAUCUCGCACAUCCGCUUCUGGGUGCUGCAGAUUAUCUUUGUGUCCACGCCCACCCUCAUCUACCUGGGCCACGUGCUGCACAUCGUCCGCAUGGAGGAGAAGCGCAAGGAGAAGGAGGAGGAGCUGCGCAAGGCCAGCAGGCUCCAGGAGGAGAAGGAGCUCCUCUUUAAGAACGGAGCGGGCGGAGGAGGCGGCGGUAAGAAGGAGAAGCCGCCGAUCAGGGACGAGCACGGGAAAAUCCGCAUCAGGGGGGCGCUGCUGCGCACCUACGUGUUCAACAUCAUUUUUAAGACCCUGUUUGAAGUGGGCUUCAUCUUAGGCCAGUACUUCCUGUACGGCUUUCAGCUGCGGCCGCUGUACAAGUGCGCGCGGUGGCCCUGCCCCAACACCGUAGACUGCUUCAUCUCCCGGCCCACAGAAAAGACCAUCUUCAUCAUAUUUAUGCUUGUGGUGGCUUGCGUGUCCCUUUUGCUGAAUUUGUUAGAGAUCUAUCACCUCGGAUGGAAGAAGGUCAAGCAGGGCAUGACCAACGAGUUUGCCCCCGGGCGCGGGUCGCCGCCCCGCACCGACGCUGAGCCGGAGUCCGCGACCCCCGCCCCGAGAACUGCCCCUCCAAACCUCAGCUACCCGCCGAACUACACGGACGUGACCGCGGGGGGCGCGUACCCCCUGCCGGCCGCCCCGGCGGCCGAGUUCAAGAUGGAUCCUCUGCAGGAGGACCUGCAGGAGGCGCCCUCCUCCUUCUACAUCAGCAACAACAACAACCACCGGCUGGCCUCCGAGCAGAACUGGGCCAACCAGGCUACCGAGCAGCAGACUCGGGAGAGGAAUCCAGGCUCCCCUUCCCCCUCCUCUUCCUCCUCCUCCUCGUCCUCAACCUCCAGCGUCCGAGAUGAGCUGCAGCAGCCGAAGGACGCCGCCUCCACCUCGAGCGGCGGGGGCUGGGGCGGAGGGAAGGGCCCGUUGGAAGAGGGUCACAUGACCACCAUGGUGGAGAUGCACGAGGCGCCCGCAGCGGUAAUGGCGGUAACGGCGGUCACGGACGCCCGGCGGCUCAGCAGGGCCAGCAAGAGCAGCAGCGUCAGAGCCCGGCCCAACGACCUGGCGGUUUAGCCCCGCUCCCACCCCGCCGCCCCCCGUUUUUAUAUUCAGUCGCGUAAAACCGCAGAUGAAAAGCAGCAGCGAGGCAGGGCACUGGAAUUGGGGAGCUCUCCAUAUAAAUCUGUGAACAGCAAAGUGAACUGCAGUGCAAUCGGAAAUGGAUCAGCUAACAGUUUGAGAAGACUACUUUUACUCAUUUUACCACUUGUUUUUUUGAAUGUAGGCGAAAUCUGUCAAUGUGAAACUACAACUCACUGAUUCACCAUCAGGUCUGCUAGCAUGUUUCUUGGUUUUAUCCACUGUCAGCCAAUCACUAAGCUUGCCACAGGGUGGUUGACCAAUGGCAAGGCAUCUGAUAGAGUUGAGGGAGGGGUCAAUCUUCAUUGGUGAAAGAAAUCAUACAUAUCGAUAGAAACUUUUUUUGAAAAAAACUAAUUUAAACAGGGUUUUUAUUUUGGAGUGUAAAACACAGGGGAGAUAAAUUGAAAACUAUGCUGGACUGUGGGUGGAAAUCAAGAACUGACAUGUGCCACUGCACUGUCCUGCUGUUUAUCAUUUUUAUAUGCAGAAAAUUCAGAUUCUGUUUUGUGCCACAAAUCUGAACACUGCCUCAAAACUACAGGUGCCAUGAUUCCAGGACCCGCUGCUACUCUUCACUACUGCUUUUAAAAGGAAAAUAUUAUUUAGCCAAAGAGAGAGAAUCAGUUUCUUGUAGAUCUCUUUGAAAAUAAAGCACAUGCAAGUCCAAAGUGCUGAAAGAAAGUGCAGUAUGAGAUCAUCAGGCUGUAGGGUCAGUGGGAGUGAAUUAGAAACACAGAUUACUAGACUGAAGAUGGAGUCUCCUUUGACUAAUUACAGCCCAAUUGUUCAUCUGCCAGAGUAAACGUACUUUCAGUCACUCAUUGCUGUGACAGACCUGUGGCAAACCUUACAUGAAAAACAAUAUCCAAGCCAAAUAAAACUGUGAAAACCCCUGCCAAAAAACUCUGUUAGAUCAGAAUAUACCUUUACGUAUGUUCAUAUGUUUUGCAGAUUUCUUGGGAGGUGUAUUAUUUUUUAAUCAGAUUUAAUCAGAUUGUUUUGUGUUCAGUCAAGAAAGCAUACCACCAGAAUUGACAGUGAUGAUAUAGUUUUUGACAUAAGACAUAAGUCUAAUGCAAUCAUUCUAAUGCAAUUUUAAUCAUUGGAUCUUCAUGUAGAGAGUAAUUUGUGAACAGAAAAGUAAACACCCCCAUUAUAUGUGAUGCCUUAAAUAUUGGGUUUAUUUAUAAAAGUGCUAUUUUUUUAAAGGUAUUUGAGGUUAUGACAAGAUGAGAUUUGCAUAACUGUAGUCAGUAAGAAAUGACUGGUUGA